ensembl:snRNA U6 U6 spliceosomal RNA
GUGCUUGCUUCGGCAGCACAUGUACUAAAAUUGGAACGAUACAAAGAAGAUUAGCAUGGCCCCUGCACAAGGAUGACAUGCAAAUUUGUGAAGCAUUCCAUAUUUUU